CCUACGGGAUGCAGCAGUGGGGAAUAUUGGACAAUGGGGGAAACCCUGAUCCAGCCAUGCCGCGUGAGUGAUGAAGGCCUUAGGGUUGUAAAGCUCUUUCGCUAGGGAAGAUAAUGACGGUACCUAGUAAAGAAGCCCCGGCUAACUUCGUGCCAGCAGCCGCGGUAAUACGAAGGGGGCUAGCGUUGUUCGGAAUUACUGGGCGUAAAGCGCGCGUAGGCGGGUCAUUAAGUUAGGGGUGAAAUCCCGGGGCUCAACCUCGGAAUUGCCUCUAAAACUGGUGGCCUUGAGUUCGAGAGAGGUGAGUGGAACUCCGAGUGUAGAGGUGAAAUUCGUAGAUAUUCGGAAGAACACCAGUGGCGAAGGCGGCUCACUGGCUCGAUACUGACGCUGAGGUGCGAAAGCGUGGGGAGCAAACAGGAUUAGAUACCCCGGUAGUC
rnacentral:rRNA from 1 species